rnacentral:rRNA from 1 species
UACGUAGGCAGCAAGCGUUGUUCGGAAUUACUGGGCGUAAAGAGUACGUAGGUGGUUUGCUAAGUCCGAUGUGAAAUCUCCCGGCUUAACCGGGGAACUGCGUCUGAUACUGGAUGGCUCGAGUGUGGGAGAGGGAUGCGGAAUUCCAGGUGUAGCGGUGAAAUGCGUAGAUAUCUGGAGGAACACCGGUGGCGAAGGCGGCGUCCUGGACCAAUUCUG